AUUAAAAAAAAACAGGAAAUGGAAGGCUUGUUUAGAAUUGAAAGGUGAAUCUCUGCCAAGCUGUUCUAGCAUCUGCCUGCUGCCUGCUCUCUCUUCACCUCCCACUACCGCACCUCUUUAAACUUACAUGCACGUCAGACUAUUAUUCAUUUAAGAAUAAAAAAUUGCAGUAAAAGAAAGUAUGACUUUGUGACUUGGAGACAUAAACAGCAGCCCAAUGUUGAGCACAUAUAAGGAUGCCCACAUACAUGCCUGGUUUUGUCCCUUCCAACUCAGUCCCAAGGCACUGUUUCCUUAUAAAAACUUGUACUCAGAUUAUUAAAAAUGCCAGGCUUGGAAUGAUUCAAACUUUAGCAAGUACUAAAGAUUCUAGAAUGACAAGAAAAUGUCUUGGCAUUAUGAAAUAAUGUUAUGUUUAUGG
rnacentral:lncRNA from 1 species